UGGGGAAUAUUGGACAAUGGGCGAAAGCCUGAUCCAGCCAUGCCGCGUGUGUGAAGAAGGCCUUCGGGUUGUAAAGCACUUUCAGUGGGGAAGAAAGCCUAAGGCUUAAUACGCUUUAGGAAGGACAUCACCCACAGAAGAAGCACCGGCUAACUCCGUGCCAGCAGCCGCGGUAAUACGGAGGGUGCGAGCGUUAAUCGGAAUUACUGGGCGUAAAGGGCGCGUAGGCGGUUUGUUAAGCCAGAUGUGAAAGCCCCGGGCUUAACCUGGGAACAGCAUUUGGAACUGGCAGACUUGAGUGCAGGAGAGGAAGGUAGAAUUCCAGGUGUAGCGGUGAAAUGCGUAGAGAUCUGGAGGAAUACCAGUGGCGAAGGCGGCCUUCUGGACUGACACUGACGCUGAGGCGCGAAAGCGUGGGUAGCAAACA
rnacentral:rRNA from 1 species